rnacentral:pre_miRNA from 1 species
AUGCGAUGUGACAUGCCAGUUUGGGUUUUACUUUGAUAUUGAAUUAUUUAUUAUUUAAUUGAAUUUGGGAAAAGGGGUGUUACAAUUGG